AUGGCGAGGGCGGAGGCCAACUGGGAGCGCCUGGUGCGGGCGGCGCUCCGCGGGGACCGGAUGGGCGGCGUCUACGGGGUCCCCGCCAGCGGCAUCGCCGGGAACGUCCCCUCCUCGCUCGGCAACAACACCCACAUCGACGAGGUGCUCCGCGCCGCCGACGAGAUCCAGGACGAGGACCCCACCGUCGCCAGGAUUCUGUGUGAGCACGCAUAUGCCCUCGCCCAAAAUCUGGAUCCAAAUAGCGAAGGGAGAGGUGUGCUUCAGUUCAAGACCGGCUUAAUGUCAGUAAUCCGGCAAAAACUAGCUAAGAGGGAAGGUGGUGCUAUAGACCGAAGCCAGGAUAUAGCUAAACUGCAAGAAUUUUAUAAGCUCUACAGAGAAAGACAUAAAGUUGACGAGUUGUGUGACGACGAAAUGAAGCUGAGGGAAUCUGGUGUGUUCAGCGGUAACCUUGGAGAGCUGGAGCGCAAAACACUUAAGCGCAAAAAAGUACUUGCAACUCUCAAGGUCUUAUGGUCAGUAAUAGAGGAUAUAACAAAGGAAAUUUCCCCUGAGGAUGCAGCAAAUUUGAUUUCUGAAGAGAUGAAAAAAGUCAUGCAAAAGGAUGCGGCAAGGACAGAGGAUGUUGUGGCGUAUAAUAUCAUUCCUCUAGAUUCCUUGUCUACAACUAACCUAAUUGUCACUUUUCCAGAGGUGAGGGCAGCAAUAUCAUCUUUGCAGUACCAUAGGGAUCUGCCCAGGCUUCCGAAUACCAUUUCAGUUCCUGAUGCUAGGAAUUCUGAUAUGCUGGACCUUUUGCACUGCGUGUUUGGUUUUCAGAAAGACAAUGUGAGCAAUCAACGGGAGCACAUUGUUCACCUGUUGGCAAAUGAGCAGUCUCGAUUAGGCAAACUAUCAGGGAAUGAACCGAAAAUUGACGAGGGUGCUGUACAUGUUGUGUUUUCCAAGUCCCUGGAUAACUACAUAAAAUGGUGCAACUAUUUACCACUACGCCCUGUCUGGAAUAACAUUGAAUCAUUGACCAAAGAAAAGAAGUUGCUAUAUGUUUGUUUAUACUACUUGAUCUGGGGAGAGGCUGCCAACGUACGAUUUCUUCCAGAAGGCUUAUGCUACAUAUUUCAUCAUCUAGCAAGAGAACUAGAGGUGAUUAUGCAGAAACAGACUGCUGAGCCAGCUGGAAGCUGCAUUUCUAAUGAUGGCGUAUCAUUUCUUGACCAAGUCAUUUAUCCUCUAUAUGAAAUCGUUGCAGCUGAAGCAGGCAACAAUGACAAUGGGCGGGCAGCACAUUCUGCAUGGAGAAACUAUGAUGAUUUCAAUGAGUUCUUCUGGUCUGAGAAAUGUUUUCAGCUGGGUUGGCCGUGGAAACUGAGUAACCCAUUCUUCUCAAAGCCUAGUAGGAAAGAACAGGGCUUGAUAAGUAGGAAUCAUCAUUACGGAAAGACAUCUUUCGUGGAGCACAGAACUUUUCUGCAUCUUUACCAUAGCUUUCACCGCCUCUGGAUGUUCCUACUAUUGAUGUUUCAGGGACUUACUAUCAUUGCUUUUAACAAUGGCAGUUUUGACACAAAUACUGUAUUGGAACUUCUUAGCCUUGGCCCAACUUAUAUCAUAAUGGAAUUUAUCGAGAGUGUAUUGGACAUUCUAAUGAUGUAUGGCGCCUAUUCAACAUCUCGUGGUUCUGCAAUUACUAGAGUGAUCUGGCGAUUCUGUUGGUUUACUGCGUCUUCACUGGUCAUCUGUUACCUAUAUAUCAAGGCACUUCAAGAUGGGGUGCAAUCUGCACCUUUUAAGAUUUAUGUUGUUGUAAUCAGCGCGUAUGCGGGUUUCCAGAUAAUCAUCAGCCUACUCAUGAGUGUUCCCUGCUGCCGUGGUUUUACCAAUGCUUGCUACAGCUGGUCUUUUGUACGCCUUGCCAAGUGGAUGCAUCAGGAACACAAUUAUGUUGGAAGAGGCCUGCAUGAAAGGCCUCUAGAUUAUAUCAAAUAUGUCGCUUUCUGGCUUGUUAUUUUUGCUGCGAAAUUUUCAUUCACCUAUUUCCUCCAGAUCAAACCUCUUGUAAAACCAACAAGACUGAUAAUCAGUUUCAAAGGCUUACAGUAUCAAUGGCAUGACUUUGUCUCAAAGAAUAACCAUAAUGCGAUUACAAUCCUUGCUUUAUGGGCUCCAGUGGCCUCAAUUUAUCUUUUGGACAUCCAUGUUUUUUACACUAUCAUGUCUGCUAUUGUUGGAUUCCUCCUUGGUGCACGUGAUCGCCUGGGAGAGAUUAGAUCUGUUGAAGCAGUCCACAGGUUCUUUGAGAAGUUCCCUGAAGUAUUCAUGGAUAAACUUCAUGUUGCUGUUCCAAAAAGGAAACAACUGCUAUCAUCUGGUCAGCAAGCAGAGCUAAACAAGCUUGAUGCAUCUAGAUUCGCUCCUUUCUGGAAUGAAAUUGUGAAGAAUUUGCGGGAAGAGGACUACAUUAGUAACACUGAACUGGAUUUACUCUUGAUGCCCAAGAAUAUAGGCGGUCUUCCAAUUGUGCAGUGGCCACUUUUUUUGCUUGCCAGCAAGGUUUUUUUGGCCAAAGAUAUUGCAGUCGAUUGCAACGACUCACAAGAUGAACUCUGGCUAAGGAUCUCAAAGGACGAAUAUAUGCAAUAUGCUGUCGAGGAGUGCUUUCAUAGCAUCAAGUAUAUCCUGUCAUCUAUUCUAGAUAAAGAAGGCCAUCUCUGGGUGCAAAGGAUUUUUGAUGGUAUUCAAGAAAGCAUUUCAAAGAACAACAUCCAGAGUGAUAUUCAUUUCAGCAAAUUGCCUAAUGUCAUUGCCAAGCUUGUUGCUGUAGCGGGAAUACUGAAAGAAACGGAAUCUGCUGAUAUGAAGAAGGGGGCAGUUAAUGCGAUUCAAGAUCUAUAUGAAGUUGUUCAUCACGAAGUGCUUUUUGUUGAUUUGAGUGGUAACAUUGACGAUUGGAGUCAGAUAAAUAGAGCAAGAGCCGAAGGCCGCCUCUUCAGUAAUCUCAAGUGGCCAAAUGAACCUGGAUUGAAGGACAUGAUCAAACGAUUGCAUUCACUUCUGACCAUCAAGGAAUCAGCUGCAAAUGUUCCUAAAAACCUGGAAGCCAGCCGGAGACUGCAGUUCUUCACGAACUCUCUGUUCAUGCAAAUGCCUCUUGCAAGGCCUGUUUCAGAAAUGCUUUCCUUUAGCGUAUUUACUCCAUAUUACUCUGAGACUGUGCUUUAUAGCAUCGCCGAACUCCAAAAGAAAAAUGAAGAUGGUAUAUCUACACUGUUUUAUCUUCAGAAGAUUUAUCCAGAUGAAUGGAAGAACUUCCUUACUCGCAUCAACAGGGAUGAAAAUGCAGCAGACACUGAACUUUUUAGCAGUGCGAAUGACAUAUUAGAACUUCGGCUAUGGGCAUCUUACCGUGGGCAAACAUUAGCGCGAACAGUUCGUGGGAUGAUGUACUACAGGAAGGCCCUUAUGUUGCAAAGUUAUUUGGAGAGGAUGCAUUCUGAAGACCUCGAAUCUGCAUUUGAUAUGGCUGGUCUGGCUGACACACAUUUUGAGUACUCCCCUGAAGCACGCGCACAGGCUGAUUUGAAAUUUACGUAUGUGGUUACCUGCCAAAUAUAUGGAGUGCAGAAAGGAGAAGGGAAACCAGAAGCUGCAGAUAUAGCCCUUCUGAUGCAAAGAAAUGAAGCUCUCAGAAUUGCUUACAUCGAUGUUGUUGAGAGCGUUAAGAAUGGAAAGCCUAGCACUGAGUAUUACUCAAAGCUUGUUAAAGCUGACAUCCAUGGAAAGGACAAGGAAAUUUAUUCUGUUAAAUUGCCCGGCAAUCCAAAGCUUGGGGAGGGUAAACCCGAAAAUCAAAACCAUGCUGUAAUAUUCACUCGCGGAAAUGCCGUACAAACCAUUGAUAUGAAUCAGGAUAACUAUUUCGAGGAGGCACUCAAAAUGAGAAAUCUGCUUGAGGAAUUCUCUCAAAAUCAUGGCAAGUUCAGGCCUUCAAUUCUUGGUGUUAGAGAACAUGUCUUCACCGGAAGUGUUUCCUCCCUUGCUUCGUUUAUGUCAAAUCAGGAAACUAGUUUUGUGACAUUAGGACAGCGUGUUCUUUCUAAUCCACUGAAAGUGAGAAUGCAUUAUGGUCACCCAGACGUGUUUGAUAGAAUAUUUCAUAUUACGAGGGGUGGCAUAAGUAAGGCGUCCCGUAUCAUCAAUAUCAGCGAGGAUAUAUUUGCAGGGUUUAACUCUACUCUGCGUCAAGGGAACAUAACUCACCAUGAGUAUAUCCAGGUUGGUAAAGGAAGAGAUGUUGGGCUUAAUCAGAUCGCACUAUUUGAAGGAAAAGUUGCGGGAGGAAACGGCGAACAAGUUCUUAGCAGAGAUAUAUACAGACUUGGGCAGCUUUUUGAUUUUUUCAGGAUGUUAUCCUUCUAUGUGACUACUGUUGGGUUUUACUUCUGUACUAUGCUAACUGUACUGACAGUGUACAUAUUUCUCUAUGGUAAAACUUAUCUGGCUUUAUCUGGUGUUGGAGAAUCAAUUCAAAAUAGGGCGGAUAUACAGGGAAAUAAAGCAUUGAGCGUGGCUCUGAACACCCAGUUUCUUUUCCAGAUUGGUGUGUUUACUGCAAUUCCUAUGAUUCUAGGUUUCAUCCUGGAAGAAGGUGUCCUGACGGCUUUUGUUAGCUUCAUUACUAUGCAGUUCCAACUAUGCUCUGUAUUUUUCACGUUCUCUCUUGGAACAAGGACUCACUAUUUUGGUCGCACAAUACUGCAUGGAGGUGCAAAGUAUAGAGCAACUGGUAGGGGUUUUGUGGUACGGCAUAUUAAGUUUGCUGAGAAUUACCGUCUUUAUUCCCGAAGCCAUUUUGUGAAAGGGCUGGAGGUUGCACUUCUGUUGGUUAUCUUUCUAGCUUAUGGUUUUAACAACAGUGGAGCAAUUGGCUAUAUCUUACUUUCCAUAAGUAGCUGGUUUAUGGCUCUUUCUUGGCUUUUUGCUCCAUAUGUAUUCAACCCUUCUGGAUUUGAAUGGCAAAAGGUCGUCGAGGAUUUCAGAGACUGGACAAACUGGCUUUUUUACCGAGGUGGUAUUGGGGUUAAAGGAGAAGAAAGCUGGGAAGCUUGGUGGGAUGAAGAACUGGCACAUAUUCACACCUUCCGCGGGAGGAUACUGGAAACUAUACUUAGUUUAAGAUUUUUUAUUUUCCAGUAUGGAGUUGUUUACCACAUGCAUGCAGCCAAAGAAAGUACAACAUUAUCGGUAUAUUGGGUUUCAUGGGCAGUGCUUGGAGGGCUUUUUGUCCUCCUAAUGGUAUUUAGUUUAAACCCCAAGGCCAUGGUUCAUUUCCAGUUGCUCCUGCGUCUGGUCAAAAGCAUUGCACUGUUAGUGGUUUUGGCAGGUUUGGUUGUGGCAAUUGCGAUGACACCCCUCACUGUUUUAGAUGUACUUGCUUCCAUCCUAGCAUAUGUCCCUACUGGAUGGGGAAUUCUUUCGAUUGCUGUGGCAUGGAAACCAAUUGUGAAGAGAUUGGGUUUGUGGAAAAUAGUGCGCUCGCUGGCUCGUCUGUAUGAUGCUGGCAUGGGAAUGAUCAUUUUUGUGCCCAUAGCCAUCUGCUCCUGGUUUCCCUUCAUCUCCACCUUCCAGACACGGCUACUGUUCAACCAGGCUUUCAGCAGAGGUUUGGAGAUUUCUCUCAUCCUGGCUGGCAACAAUCAGAAUGCAGGCAUAUGA
rnacentral:rRNA from 1 species